AUGAGGAAUGCCAGAGGUGAC
rnacentral:piRNA from 1 species